rnacentral:rRNA from 1 species
UACGUAGGGUGCGAGCGUUGUCCGGAAUUAUUGGGCGUAAAGGGCUCGUAGGCGGUUUGUCGCGUCGGGAGUGAAAACACUGGGCUUAACUCAGUGCUUGCUUCCGAUACGGGCAGACUAGAGGUAUGCAGGGGAGAACGGAAUUCCUGGUGUAGCGGUGAAAUGCGCAGAUAUCAGGAGGAACACCGGUGGCGAAGGCGGGUCUCUGGGCAGUAACUGACGCUGAGGAGCGAAAGCGUGGGGGAGCGAACAGG